rnacentral:rRNA from 1 species
UACGUAGGCAGCGAGCGUUGUUUGGAGUUACUGGGCGUAAAGGGUGUGUAGGCGGUUGUUUAAGUUUGGUGUGAAAUCUCCCGGCUCAACUGGGAGGGUGCGCCGAAUACUGAAUGACUUGGAGUGCGGGAGAGGAAAGUGGAAUUCCUGGUGUAGCGGUGAAAUGCGUAGAUAUCAGGAGGAACACCGGUGGUGUAGACGGCUUUCUGGACCGUAACUGACGCUGAGACACGAAAGCGUGGGUAGCAAACAGG